CUGUGCACGAUGCUUUUCAACUCUGUCUUCAGGGACUUCAGGAGCACUGCUUAAAACCGGCCUUGGUGAGGAGGGAUUUAUUUCAUUUGCUCCUGAAGUUAAAUCUCAUGAAAUCAUGUGAAAUUCAGUGAUGUGUUACUGGGAACAAAAAGGGUUACGUUAUUAAUUGUGAUGCCUUCCCACAAGAGCUGUGUCUGUACUGUGCCACAUAACCCCUGAAGCUGAAUAAAGAACUUUCUCCUUGAUUCCCCCAGCCCUCCAAAAACAUCAGCAGGUGAUGAGGUCCCAUUGUAAAUGACCCAAGGACAAACAGCUCAUGACUUCAAAGGAGGCCUCUUCAACCCAGGGCAAAUUCAGGCCUUCAUUCCAGGGGUCUGUAAGCAAGUACUGAGUGAAGAGAUAUCCUAAAAUCAAUCGUUCCUCUUUGCCAACCCUGGAUAAUGGCAACAACUUCUUUAGUGGCAUGCUGCAUGCUCUGUUUGGUCAUGUCCAGAGAUACCCAAGAUAAAGAAGUUUGAUAAAUAUACACAUUAACUCAGCAAAAAUAACAUGGUUAUUUUCAUGAAUAUUGCACUUGGGCACAUCAGCAAAAUUCAAAAGUGA